AAUAAGUACAGUUUUACACUAUUCACAUUCAACGUUUAACCGUUCGUUUUAUUUAAAAAAUUUUUAUGAUUAGUAUUUUAAUUGCUAUUAGAUGAUAAAAUAUAAAUAGUACUUUAUGUGUGACUAAAUAUUUUCAAUUUUUUUACAAAUUUUUCAAAUAAGACGGACGGUCAAACGUUGGGCACGGAUAUCCACGGCUGCACUUAUU
rnacentral:pre_miRNA from 1 species